CCUACGGGAGGCAGCAGUGGGGAAUAUUGCACAAUGGGGGGAACCCUGAUGCAGCGACGCCGCGUGGGUGAAGGAGCACCUCGGCGCGUAAAGCCCUAUCGGCAGGGAAGAAGGAGGACGGUACCUGACUAAGAAGCCCCGGCUAACUACGUGCCAGCAGCCGCGGUAAUACGUAGGGGGCAAGCGUUAUCCGGAUUUACUGGGUGUAAAGGGGGCGCAGACAGCAGCGCAAGCCAGGAGUGAAAGCCCGGGGCCCAACCCCGGGACUGCUCUUGGAAC
rnacentral:rRNA from 1 species